GCUGGGCAUGGUGAUGCAUGCCUGUCAUCUCAUCUACUUGGGAGGCUGAGGUGGGAGGACCGCUUGAGCCCAGGAGGCUGAGGCCGCAGUGAGCCAUGAUCACAAUUGGGUGAUCAUGGCUCACUGCGGCCUCAGCCUCCUGGGUUCAAGUGAUCCUCCUGCUU
rnacentral:sRNA from 1 species